rnacentral:rRNA from 1 species
UACGUAGGGUGCAAGCGUUAAUCGGAAUUACUGGGCGUAAAGCGUGCGCAGGCGGUUUUGUAAGUCUGUCGUGAAAGCCCCGGGCUCAACCUGGGAAUUGCGAUGGAGACUGCAAGGCUUGAAUCUGGCAGAGGGGGGUAGAAAUUCCACGUGUAGCAGGUGAAAUGCGUAGAGAUGAUGGAGGAACACCGAUGGCGAAGGCAACCCCCUGGGUCAAGAUUGACGCUCGAUGCACGAAAGCGUG